CAGCACAGUAAACAUCAAGUUGUUUGUGAAUAGCUUAAUAGAUUACCAGUGGAUGGCAACUGGAGACACUUGGUACCAUUACCACAAUGGUACACUGCAGUGGUUAUAGGGCCUAGAGUGUGUAUAGGAGAAGAUUUUAUUACCAGGCAUUACUGUAUAUAACAUGACUGCAUAUAUGGCAUACAUUACAGGAAUUGUGUAUUGGAAAUAUAGUAUAGAAUGAGACUGUUUAGAGGACAGACAAUAUAGGAUGAGACUGUUUAGAGGGCAUGCAAUAAAGGACAAGCAUGUACUAGACUGAAUAAAAAAGAAUAUUAAAAGAUGUCUGUGAAAGCGAGUGUUAGAAAUUGACUUGGAUUGGACUGUGUGAGUUAUUACGUAUUAGAAUGAGAGCGAAGUAUUACAGGAAUCUGGGGAGUAUGAAAAUUUGGCAGCUAAGCCAUAAACCUGC